UUAGUCUAACUCCAAAUAUCA
ensembl:piRNA 21ur-10625 ncRNA